UACGGGGGGGGCAAGCGUUGUUCGGAUAUACUGGGCGUAAAGCGCACGUAGGCGGCGCCGUAAGUCAGGGGUGAAAUCCCGGAGCUCAACUCCGGAACUGCCCUUGAAACUGCAGUGCUAGAAUCUUGGAGAGGCGAGUGGAAUUCCGAGUGUAGAGGUGAAAUUCGUAGAUAUUCGGAAGAACACCAGUGGCGAAGGCGACUCGCUGGACAAGUAUUGACGCUGAGGUGCGAAAGCGUGGGGAGCAAACAGG
rnacentral:rRNA from 1 species